rnacentral:rRNA from 1 species
CCUACGGGAGGCAGCAGUGAGGAAUAUUGGUCAAUGGGCGCAAGCCUGAACCAGCCAAGUCGCGUGAGGGAUGACGGUCCUAUGGAUUGUAAACCUCUUUUGUCGGGGAGCAAGGCCCGCCACGUGUGGCGGGAAGGAGAGUACCCGAAGAAAAAGCAUCGGAUAACUCCGUGCCAGCAGGCGCGGUAAUACGGAGGAUGAGAGCUUUCUCCGGAUUUAGUGGGUUUAAAGGGUGCGUAGGAGGAAGGUUGAGUCAGCGGUCAAAUGUCGGGGCAAAAGACCGGCCUGCCGUUGAAACUGGUCUUCUUGAGUGAGCGAGAAGUAUGAGGAAUGCGUGGUGUAGCGGUGAAAUGCAUAGAUAUCACGCAGAACUCCGAUUGCGAAGGCAGCAUACCGGCGCUCAACUGACGCUGAGGCACGAAAGCGUGGGGAUCGAACAGGAUUAGAUACCCGGGUAGUC